rnacentral:rRNA from 1 species
AAUACGUUCCCGGGCCUUGUACACACCGCCCGUCAAGCCAUGGAAGUUUGGUAGACCUGAAGCCGGUGCUCGUCACGGAAGCCGGUUAGGGUAGAACAGGUAACUAGGGCU